rnacentral:rRNA from 1 species
UGCUAUCACUCUUGGAUGGACCUGCGGUGCAUUAGCUAGUUGGUAAGGUAACGGCUUACCAAGGCAAUGAUGCAUAGCCGAGUUGAGAGACUGAUCGGCCACAUUGGGACUGAGACACGGCCCAAACUCCUACGGGAGGCAGCAGUAGGGAAUCUUCCACAAUGGACGAAAGUCUGAUGGAGCAACGCCGCGUGAGUGAAGAAGGGUUUCGGCUCGUAAAGCUCUGUUGGUAGUGAAGAAAGAUAGAGGUAGUAACUGGCCUUUAUUUGACGGUAAUUACUUAGAAAGUCACGGCUAACUACGUGCCAGCAGCCGCGGUAAUACGUAGGUGGCAAGCGUUGUCCGGAUUUAUUGGGCGUAAAGCGAGUGCAGGCGGUUCAAUAAGUCUGAUGUGAAAGCCUUCGGCUCAACCGGAGAAUUGCAUCAGAAACUGUUGAACUUGAGUGCAGAAGAGGAGAGUGGAACUCCAUGUGUAGCGGUGGAAUGCGUAGAUAUAUGGAAGAACACCAGUGGCGAAGGCGGCUCUCUGGUCUGCAACUGACGCUGAGGCUCGAAAGCAUGGGUAGCGAACAGGAUUAGAUACCCUGGUAGUCCAUGCCGUAAACGAUGAGUGCUAAGUGUUGGGAGGUUUCCGCCUCUCAGUGCU